rnacentral:lncRNA from 1 species
CGGGCGGGCGGCUCCCGGGACGUUGCGGGCCGGUUCCCCGAGCCUCUGCGGGCCUCGCAGAUCGGGUGAAACCGAGCUGAGGAAACGGCCGCUUGUGGGCUGCGCGGGGGGGGCUGCAGGGCGACGGGCGCUGUGGGAAGCGCUGGUGGCAGAAGCGCUUGUCCCGCCGUGACAAAGCCGAACGCGCCAGCGGCGUUGCCUGCUAACGGUUAACGGAGCUGCCGCGGUUAUGUUGCGACGCAGGAAUCUGAGAUUUGGUCGCGCAUGAAGGUUAUCAGAGAACGUGAAUUUAAAGUAGGAUAGCUGCCUCCCAGAGUAAUGCCGCGUGUGGAAAGUCCUGCUGCGGAAAUAUCCCUUUCACCUUCCCGCACUACAGCCUACUGAUGGUUGAUACGCCAAUGAUAAGGAGCCUUCCUUUGUUGUGAAAUUUUGAAGUUCUUGUCAGCUGGGCUAGCCCCAGCCUUAGCUGAAAACUAAUGCCAGAGAUAUUCAGGAUGUGUAUUUUGACGGAACACCUCCAUGAUUCAUUGCUGGAUUUCCUGGAAUCUGGGUUGAUUAUUAUCUGGAACAAUUCUUCUUCGAAUAAAAACAAGGCACUACAGCUAAAAACAAAGCCCUUUUAUGGGAAACACCUAUAGAAUCCAGAAGAGAUUGGAACCGAAUUUAAAAGAAAACUCAAAAUAUUUCUAUUUUUAAGCCUAAUAGAAUUCCUUGCUGAAAAAAAAUAUAUCGUGGAUUGGUACUUAUUUUCUAGCAUUGUUUUCAUAAAUCUUUACAUUAAAAUUUCUCCUGAGAAUGUUCUUCAUAAGAACUCUUUUGAACUCUUCAAAAUCAGGCUCAUAUUGGUAUCAUCAUUUGUACUACAGUAGUAGUUACAGAGUUGAAUGGAGACCACGGUCUUCAUGGUGUUGAGUGUGGUUUUUGUCACACUAAGAGGUAGUCCUCGACCCAAACAUGUCUGCUUAAGAGAGAGGAAGUUUGUGUUUUAUUUAAGGGAGCUGACGCAGAAAGAUUAUCUAUGAUACCUAAAGUGAGAUUGGUGGAAAGCUUUCUUGGAUGCCAAAUCAGUGGCUUAACCUGAAGAUUCAUGUCUCCUAAGAGCAGAUAGCUAUUAAAAUUCCCCAUUUCUUGAUUUCUUUACUUUCAUAGUUUUAUUACCAUUAGUCUGAAUACUGAUAUAACUCAUUCUGUCUAUGGCAUCUCUCCAAACACAUUUCAGCUCUCCUUAUAACUGAGGGUUGUGACAGUGGGAAAAAUGGAAACGCAUCAGGUUUUGCAAAGUUAGACGCACCCUCUGGCCUUUUUUAUGGUAGCUCCAACACGUUAUAGCUUUUUCUUCUGUACUUCUAAGACAGCUGUAUCGCCCUGUGAGGGUCUUCCAUUUUUCUGAAUUUCAGUCCUGCCUUCUUGCCCACCAUCUGCUGGGAGCACACUGACAAGAGAAGAGCUAACUGCUG